rnacentral:rRNA from 1 species
UACAGAGGGUGCGAGCGUUGUCCGGAAUCACUGGGCGUAAAGGGCGCGUAGGUGGUGGCUUAAGCGUGCGGUGAAAGCUCGGGGCUCAACCCCGAGUCGGCCGUGCGAACUGGGCUCACUGGAGCAUAGUAGAGGCAGGUGGAAUUCCGGGUGUAGCGGUGGAAUGCGUAGAGAUCCGGAAGAACACCGGUGGCGAAGGCGGCCUGCUGGGCUAUGGGCUGACACUGAGGGCGCGAAA